rnacentral:rRNA from 1 species
AUUGAACGCUGGCGGCAGGCUUAACACAUGCAAGUCGAGCGGAGAUGAGGUGCUUGCACCUUAUCUUAGCGGCGGCCGGGUGAGUAAUGCUUAGGAAUCUGGCUAUUAGUGGGGGACAACAUUCCGAAAGGGAUGCUAAUACCGCAUCCGUCCUACGGGAGAAAGCAGGGGAUCACUGGUGACCUUGUGCUAUUAAAUGAGCCUAAGUCGGAUUAGCUAGUUGGUGGGGUAAAGGCCUACCAAGGGGACGAUCUGUAGCGGGUCUGAGAGGAUGAUCCGCCACACUGGGACUGAGACACGGCCCAGACUCCUACGGGAGGCAGCAGUGGGGAAUAUUGGACAAUGGGGGGAACCCUGAUCCAGCCAUGCCGCGUGUGUGAAGAAGGCCUUAUGGUUGUAAAGCACUUUAAGCGAGGAGGAGGCUCUUUUGGUUAAUACCCAAGAUGAGUGGACGUUACUCGCAGAAUAAGCACCGGCUAACUCUGUGCCAGCCGCCGCCGUAA